UAGGGUUGUAAACCCCUUUUAUAUGGGAAGAAAAAAUGACGGUACCAUAUGAAUAAGCCUCGGCUAACUCCGUGCCAGCAGCCGCGGUAAUACGGAGGAGGCAAGCGUUAUCCGGAUUUAUUGGGCGUAAAGCGUUCGCAGGUGGUUUUUCAAGUCUGCUGUUAAAGACAGUGGCUCAACUACUGAAAGGCAGUAGAUACUGAAAGACUAGAGUGCGGUAGGGGCAGAGGGAAUUCCAGGUGUAGCGGUGAAAUGCGUAGAUUUCUGGAAGAACAUCGGUGGCGAAAGCGCUCUGCUGGACCGCAACUGACACUCAGGGACGAAAGCUAGGGGAGCGAAUGGGAUUAGAUACCCCAGUAGUCCUAGCCGUAAACGAUGGAUACUAGGUGUUGUCUGUAUCGACCCGGACAGUGCCGUAGCUAACGCGUUAAGUAUCCCGCCUGGGGAGUACGCACGCAAGUGUGAAACUCAAAGGAAUUGACGGGGGCCCGCACAAGCGGUGGAGUAUGUGGUUUAAUUCGAUGCAACGCGAAGAACCUUACCUGGACUUGACAUGUCGCGAAUUAAAGUGAAAGCUUUGAGUGCCUUCGGGAGCGCGAACACAGGUGGUGCAUGGCUGUCGUCAGCUCGUGUCGUGAGAUGUUGGGUUAAGUCCCGCAACGAGCGCAACCCUCGUUUUUAGUUGCCAGCAUGGUGUAAAAACUGAUGGGAACUCUAGAGAGACUGCCGGUGACAAACCGGAGGAAGGUGGGGAUGACGUCAAGUCAGCAUGCCCCUUACGUCCAGGGCUACACACGUACUACAAUGGUCAGGACAAAGGGUAGCGAACCCGCGAGGGGGAGCCAAUCCCGUCAAACUUGGCCUCAGUUCAGAUUGCAGGCUGCAACUCGCCUGCAUGAAGGAGGAAUCGCUAGUAAUCGCAGGUCAGCAUACUGCGGUGAAUCCGUUCCCGGGCCUUGUACACUCCGCCCGUCACACCAUGGAAGUUGGCCAUGCCCGAAGUCAUUACCCUAACUCUUGAUAGARAGGGGGAUGCCGAAGGCARGGCUGAUGACUGGGG
rnacentral:rRNA from 1 species